AGAGUUUGAUCCUGGCUCAGGACGAACGCUGGCGGCACGCUUAACACAUGCAAGUCGAACGAGAGAAGAGGAGCUUGCUUUUCUGAUCUAGUGGCGGACGGGUGAGUAACACGUGAGCAAUCUGCCUUUCAGAGGGGGAUACCGAUUGGAAACGAUCGUUAAUACCGCAUAACAUAAUUGAACCGCAUGAUUUGAUUAUCAAAGAUUUAUCGCUGAAAGAUGAGCUCGCGUCUGAUUAGCUAGUUGGUAAGGUAACGGCUUACCAAGGCGACGAUCAGUAGCCGGACUGAGAGGUUGAUCGGCCACAUUGGGACUGAGACACGGCCCAGACUCCUACGGGAGGCAGCAGUGGGGAAUACUGCACAAUGGAGGAAACUCUGAUGCAGCGAUGCCGCGUGAGGGAAGAAGGUUUUAGGAUUGUAAACCUCUGUCUUCAGGGACGAAAAAAGACGGUACCUGAGGAGGAAGCUCCGGCUAACUACGUGCCAGCAGCCGCGGUAAUACGUAGGGAGCGAGCGUUGUCCGGAAUUACUGGGUGUAAAGGGAGCGUAGGCGGGAUCGCAAGUCAGAUGUGAAAACUAUGGGCUUAACCCAUAAACUGCAUUUGAAACUGUGGUUCUUGAGUGAAGUAGAGGUAAGCGGAAUUCCUAGUGUAGCGGUGAAAUGCGUAGAUAUUAGGAGGAACAUCAGUGGCGAAGGCGGCUUACUGGGCUUUAACUGACGCUGAGGCUCGAAAGCGUGGGGAGCAAACAGGAUUAGAUACCCUGGUAGUCCACGCCGUAAACGAUGAUUACUAGGUGUGGGGGGACUGACCCCUUCCGUGCCGCAGCAAACGCAAUAAGUAAUCCACCUGGGGAGUACGACCGCAAGGUUGAAACUCAAAGGAAUUGACGGGGGCCCGCACAAGCAGUGGAGUAUGUGGAUUAAUUCGAAGCAACGCGAAGAACCUUACCAGGUCUUGACAUCGUAUGCAUAGCUCAGAGAUGAGUGAAAUCUCUUCGGAGACAUAUAGACAGGUGGUGCAUGGUUGUCGUCAGCUCGUGUCGUGAGAUGUUGGGUUAAGUCCCGCAACGAGCGCAACCCUUACUGUUAGUUGCUACGCAAGAGCACUCUAGCAGGACUGCCGUUGACAAAACGGAGGAAGGUGGGGAUGACGUCAAAUCAUCAUGCCCCUUAUGACCUGGGCCUCACACGUACUACAAUGGCUGUCAACAGAGGGAAGCAAAGCCGCGAGGUGGAGCGAACCCCUAAAAGCAGUCUUAGUUCGGAUUGUAGGCUGCAACCCGCCUACAUGAAGUCGGAAUUGCUAGUAAUCGCAGAUCAGCAUGCUGCGGUGAAUACGUUCCCGGGCCUUGUACACACCGCCCGUCACGCCAUGGGAGUCGGUAACACCCGAAGCCUGUAGUCUAACCGCAAGGAGGACGCAGUCGAAGGUGGGAUUGAUGACUGGGGUGAAGUCGGAACAAGGUA
rnacentral:rRNA from 1 species